rnacentral:tRNA from 1 species
GCCUGAAUGGCCCAGUUGGUAUAGCAUGAGACUCUUGAUCUCAGGUUUGUGAGUUCAAGUCCCACAUUUGGUG